GAAAUCGUCUGCUUGCAGUUUGUACGUCUAACCGGAUAAACGAGCGAGUAGUAAACGACAAGCAGACUUAAAUGUUUUAAUAUUUCUGGAUAUAUUAUAGCUUAUUUUAACUUCUAUACUGAAAGCAUGUAUGUUUUCCCAUCGUGUACUUCUGCAGUCGGGCGUUUCGACCAUAGACUGUAAAAGGUUUCGACAGCUGAGGGAUGCUCUUUAACUACCACUAAACGGAGCUCGGCGCUGCUUUAACAAAAAAGAAGGAUUUCCCUUAAAAGUUUUGCGAUGGAGUUUACAGAUGAGGAGAAAAUAUGGCUGCAAAGAGUGUCUGCUGAAAUACCUGAAGGAAAUGAACUCACUCCAAAAGAGAAGCAAUUACAGGAGAAAGCAAAGCCAGAGACUGAAUUUCAGGCCCAGCUCUUCCAAAC
rnacentral:lncRNA from 1 species